GUUUCACGAAUGAGCUCCAGCAGCUGGAGGAUGGAUGGCAUGCUGCUCAGACUGUCAGCUGCCCAAGGCAGUCUCUUAGAUGACAGUGAACUUGUAAAGAAAAUCAAAUCAAUAAAGUCAACUUCAGCAGAAAUACAACACAAGUGUCUGUAUACCCUGGGAAAAAUCAGGUAUCAGUUGUACUGGGAGGCAGAAGUGGCUCUGAAGCAAGUUUGAUGACCUUUUUAAAUUUUGUGUGCUGUCAAGAUUCUUCUAAGAAGUAAAGAAAUAGAAUCCCUUGAACUGGAUUUCCUUCUUCGAUUCAGAGUUGAACACAUGGAAACGGGAAUGAUUGUGCAGACUUGAACCAUUUAUCAAGGAACAUUUUUUUAUCAAAGAACAUCAAGGAACAUGUUUAGUGGAUGUUUUGCCAUAUAUAUAGGAACUCUGUGGAAGAAAAGCCUGGCUCAAGGUGUAUGGAAAGUGCAAGGAUGGAUUUAGCAAAAUGCUAAGUGAGCAAUCCAGCCACACUAUGUCUUUCAUUCUGGCUUCAAGAGUAGACCCACUUGAAGAUACUGAGACAUUAGGCAAAAAGCUUGGGUUCAUUAUAGACUGUAGACUCUAGAAGAUUUCAUAACAUCUCUCUUGGACAAAGGCAGGAAAUGGUUGCAAAUGAGGCACUCAAGAAGGCUGCCUGCCAUGGCCAUGGGGUUCUUUUCCAAGAUACCCUUGAGCUGUGUACCAGAGAACGGAAAUUUAAAAGCAUCCUUUGUCUUCUGUGCAAUUUUCACACUUGCGUUGCUGGGAGACUGAAGUUUGGCCCUCAGGGCUGGAAUGGAAGGGAGUGGUUCAGCACCAGAGAUCUCCACGUCUGUGUCACUGUCCUCUGCAACUAUUUGGAGGCCCACAUGAAGGUAAAAUCUUAUUUGAGAAGAAUAAAAUAUGGAAAUCAGCAUGUAACAUGUGAGCAGGCCAUUUGUGGAGCCUGGCUUACUUGGGGGAAGUGCACCUUCCACCCUGGUGACGGGCUGAAGCUGCCUUGUGGCUGGGAGCAAGAUGAGCAGGCUGAUGUCUCCUCGGUCCCUAACAAGCAGGUUUUCAUAUGUCAAAGAGCCACACUCAGAUGAAGGUUAAGAAUGUCCUGGAUGAUAUCCUGGAGAUGCUUCCUGAGAAGUUUAACAUAGCAGAAUUCAUGUAGAAGACUAUUGCCUGGAGACCCCAUGCUUUUGUUUGCCUUCAAGAGCGUAGGAGGAGGAAACCUCCUCCUUUCAGAGAUCUGUAGCCGGA